rnacentral:rRNA from 1 species
GUAGGUGGCAAGCGUUGUCCGGAAUUAUUGGGCGUAAAGCGCGCGCAGGCGGUUCUUUACGUCUGAUGUGAAAGCCCACGGCUCAACCGUGGAGGGUCAUUGGAAACUGGAGAACUUGAGUACAGAAGAGGAAAGCGGAAUUCCACGUGUAGCGGUGAAAUGCGUAGAGAUGUGGAGGAACACCAGUGGCGAAGGCGGCUUUCUGGUCUGUAACUGACGCUGAGGCGCGAAAGCGUGGGGGAGCAAACAGGAUUAGAUACCCUGGUAGUCCACGCCGUAAACGAUGAGUGCUAAGUGUUAGGGGGUUUCCGCCCCUUAGUGCUGCAGCUAACGCAUUAAGCACUCCGCCUGGGAGUACGGCCGCAAGGCUG